UAAGCCAAGUGCGGUGGGCGAGGGCCCGUGGCCUUGACCCGCCGGGGCCGCGCUGGUCUAUCGCCCCUCCCCCGGGCCGAGCCUGCCGGGGAGGAGUUAAAGUCUCUUCAGCAGAUGCAUUCAUCCCUGAGAGCCCUCCAUCAAAUGGUUACCUCCUGUAAUGAGACGAUAAAUUCUCUUGUCCAGAACAACAACACACUAACAGGUUAGUAUUAUGCUACUGAGAUUUUUUUUUUUAAAUUCACAUAGAGGGAACUACUUUUUUAAAGACUGG
rnacentral:lncRNA from 1 species